AGACAGAUAGACAGACAGACAGACAGACAGACAGACAGACAGAGACCCAGAGACAGAUACAGACAGACCGAGAAACAGACAGACAGACAGACAGACAGACAGACAGACAGACAGACAGACAGACAGACAGACAGACAGACAGACAGACAGAGACCCAGACAGAUAGACAGACAGACAGAGAAACAGACAGACAGACAGACAGACAGACAGACGGACAGACAGACAGACAGACAGACACAGACAGACAGAGACCCAGAUACGGACAGACAGACAGACAGAGACCCAGAUACGGACAGACAGACAGAUAGACAGACAGACAGAGACCCAGAGACAGAUACAGACAGACGGACAGACAGACAGACCGAGAAACAGACAGACAGACAGACAGACAGGUCCUAGAAUUAGAUGUGGCUGGCCCAUUUCUUUUCCAUCUUACAUCACUAGUUGUAGAUAUCAGGGCAAACAUGUUCAUACCCUUACGGGUUAGUGAGAUCUUAAUGGUGUCUGUUUAUUGUUGUAUGAAUGCAGGAAACAUUAUCCCUCAGGAUGGCAGGUAGCCUCGAGGUUAGAGUGUUGGGCCAGUAACAGAGAUGAAAAAUCUGUCGCUUGUGCCCUUGAGCAAGGCACUUUAAACCUAAUUGCUCCAGGGGCUCUGUACAAUGUUGACCCUGACUGUGACCCCACUCCCUGCAGGUGUCUCAGGGAGAGUUGGGAUAUGGUGACCCUGACCGUGACCCCACUCCCUGCAGGUGUCUCAGGGAGAGUUGGGAUAUGGUGACCCUGACCGUGACCCCACUCCCUGCAGGUGUCUCAGGGGGAGUUGGGAUAUGGUGACCCUGACCGUGACCCCACUCCCUGCAGGUGUUUCGGGGGAGUUGGGAUAUGCAAGAAAUACACUUGUGUGUGACAGGACAAAUAUGACCCCCCCCAACAAUCCUUUUGAAAGAUUCGUCCCAAAUGGCACCCUAUUCCCUGUAUAGUCCAGAUGGGCCAAGAUGGGCUCUGGUCCAGAUGGGUCCAGAUGGGCUCUGGUCCAGAUGGGUCCAGAUGGGCUCUGGUCCAGAUGGGCCCAGAUGGGCUCUGGUCCAGAUGGGUCCAGAUGGGCUCUGGUCCAGAUGGGUCCAGAUGGGCUCUGGUCCAGAUGGGUCCAGAUGGGCUCUGGUCCAGAUGGGUCCAGAUGGGCUCUGGUCCAGAUGGGUCCAGAUGGGCUCUGGUUCAGAUGGGUCCAGAUGGGCUCUGGUUCAGAUGGGUCCAGAUGGGCUCUGGUCCAGAUGGGUCCAGAUGGGCUCUGGUCCAGAUGGGUCCAGAUGGGCUCUGGUCCAGAUGGGUCCAGAUGGGCUCUGGUCCAGAUGGGUCCAGAUGGGCUCUGGUCCAGAUGGGUCCAGAUGGGCUCCAGAUGGGUCCCGGUCCAGAUGGGUCUGGUCCAGAUGGGUCCCGGUCCAGAUGGGUCCUGGUCCAGAUGGGUCCCGGUCCAGAUGGGCUCCGGUCCAGAUGGGCUCCGGUCCAGAUGGGCUCCGGUCCAGAUGGGUCCCGGUCCAGAUGGGUCCCGGUCCAGAUGGGUCCCGGUCCAGAUGGGUUCUGGUCCAAAGCAGUGUAGUGUAUAGAGAAUAGGUGCCAUUUGGAACAUAGUUAUGAGGCUCUAGUUAGGAGCUGUUUGAAUCAUUUUUAACACUGGUUUCUGUACAUCAGGUCUCCUAAUAUUCAUUUCAUGUGUCUCUAUGUAUUUGAGAGGAUGGACAAGUUUACUUUUAUUUGGCAGGAAGUUGAGAUUUCAUUAAUUUGUCCGUUUAAAAAAAAAAGAAAGAAAUGUAAAUGUUGUAUUAACUUUAAAGUCUUUACAGUCUCAGAUGAGGUGCAGGAAGCACCAAUGACUUCUGAAAGAAAGUGUUUGGUUCUGUCCCGAAUGGCACCCUAUUGCCUGUGUAGUGCACUACCUUUUUAAACAGGGCCUUAUGGGGACGUUGACUUUGUUUCAGGGGAUGAUGUGGAAGUCUUCUAUGCCUCAGAAGAAGGUCCAAGAUCUUCAACAUUUCAAGUCCUGAAGCAGCUGAACCACUAAUGAUGCUAAUAUGAAGAGUGUCUGGACACUACACACGCUACACACACACUACACACACUACACACACACACUACACACGCUACACACACACUACACACGCUACACACACACUACACACGCUACACACAUACACUACACACACACUACACACGCUACACACAUACACUACACACAUACACUACACACGCUACACACAUACACCACACACACACACACACACACACACACACACACACACACACACACACACACACACACACGCUACACACACACACACCACACACACACACACACACACACACACACUACACACACACUACACACACACUAUACACACACA
ensembl:lncRNA